UCAUAUACUAAUGCCAUAAAAUCAUUUCCUUCAAAAUCUACACUUGAGCAAGACGUUAAGACUUUGACAAGAUUGCGAUGCCGGAUGUUUCUAAGGGCUUCACAUUCGGCGAUGAAACUCUUGGAAGCACCUCUUUGGUUAAUGAUAAAAACUUUU